AAUCUUUUACGAUUUGUUAAAUUUUUUUAACAGCCAAAAAGAAUUAUAACCUGAGCUCGGAAUCGAGUGACAGUGACGUUGUGUUCGAUCCCCCAUCUGAUUCGGAACAAACAUCCAAGAAGCCCACUGUAACGCUAAGCGAUUCCGACGACAAUAUUAAACCGAUCAAGAAACUGCCUCAACCGACACCGACUUCAGAAGAACUUUUCGAUUCGUUAGUCGGCUUUUCUCCUGAGAAGCAGCAAUCUUCGCCUGAGAAGAAACCUGUAUUUUCAUCCGGGGAAGACUCUCCUAUGAAAUUUACGCCGCCUA